rnacentral:lncRNA from 1 species
GUAGGAAAAUGACUUAGUUACACUAUACAACAAUGUCCUUUAGGGUGCGUUUGGUUCGGGUUAUCUUGACAAGAUUACAAACAAUUCUUGCUAGUAUUACUGUAUUUGGUUCAUCCGGUAUGUAAUCUGAUCAAUAAUGUAGCAUUACAAAUAGUACAUCAUUACAUCGAAAAUAUUACCGAGGGAGGGGCGUGUAUCUUGGAUUACUGAAAGUGGCUAAUCUUACAUGUUAUAUAAAAUUACAAGUUUACCCCUCCAACUAUCGAAACCCUUUCAAUACGUCAUUUUAAAAAUUUUAAUUUAAAUUUUGAAUUGUCAAUUUUUAAAAUAUAAAACUUAAAUUUUAAAUUUUCAAAUUUAAAUUUUCAAAAUUUAAAAUUUUAAUUUUUAAACUUCAAAUUUUAAAUUUUAAAUUUUAAAUUUAAAUCUAAAAUUAUAAAUUUUAAAUUUUGAAUUUAUAUCUUAAAUCUUAAAUUUUAAAUUUAAAUCUUAAAUUUUAAAUUUUAAAUUUAAAUCUUAAAUUUUAAAUUUUAAAUUUAAAUUUGUAUUUUAAAUUUUAAAUUUAAAUUUGCAUUUUAAAUUUUAAAUUUAGAUUUUAAAUUUAAUUUUAAAUUUAUAAAUUUCAUAUUUAUAUUUUAAAUUAAUAUAUUAAAAUUUAUAUUUCUGUUCAAAUUUAAAUUUUAAAAUUUUAAAAUUUUAAAUUAUUUAAAAUAAAAUUUAGUAAAAAAAUAUUAUUAGUAAACAAUAAAAAAAGCUUGCCAAAUAUGGCUAAGGACAAUUUUAGAAUAGACUAUACUUUAUUGUGAAGCUUACUGAAUUUUAUAAACUAA